rnacentral:pre_miRNA from 1 species
AUUCUACUCCCUCCGUUGCACAAUACAUGCCUUCUACUUGUCAAAAUAUAUAUGUAUCUAGACAUGUUUUAGUAUAUAGGUACAUCCAUUUUUGGACAAAUGGAAGUCAAGUAUUUUGGAACGGAGGGAGUACACA